GAGCCUCAUAGUGUAACGUGCCGCUGAAUAACUGAUGGUGAUGCAGUACCAGCACGCGUCAGUCAGCAUCACCAAACAUCACACAGACACAGAUGGACUGUACGAUCAGCUCUCAUCUUACUGUACAUCCCGAUCACAUGCACCAGAGUUACAGUCUGAAAUUACAGAUGAAGUCUACAGAUGUGGACCCAGGGCUCUUCACAGACAUCUACUGCAAAGUAUGCAGCGCACAGCUUAUCUCUGAGUCACAGAGAGUCGCCCACUAUGAGAGUCGAAAGCAUGCAAACAAAGUUCGGCUUUAUUACAUGUUACACCCGACGGAUGGCGGCUGUCCUGCAAAGAAACUCCGGACAGAUAACGGCAGUACGGAUGGAGAUGUAGAUAAGAACAAAUGUUGCACGCUGUGCAAUAUGUCCUUCACUUCAGCUGUCGUGGCCCAGUCUCACUAUCAGGGCAAGAUCCACGCCAAGAGAUUGAGGCUACUGCUGGGGGAGCAACCUGCCAUCAUAUCCAAAGAGGUGACGUCUAAUUCAGAACAUAUGGUGACUGAAGAUUCCCCAGGAAGCCCCUUAAGGCAGGGCAGACUUUCACAUCGUUACUGCCAGAUGUGCAAGGCCUGGUUCAACAACCCCGGGAUGGCCAUGCAACACUACGACGGCAAAAAACACAGGAAAAACGCAGCCCAAGCAAACCUCCUCGCUCAGCUGGGCAAGAAUCUGAAAAACGGAGAGGAACUGAACGGUAUGUGCUAACCGACCGUGAGAGGGACAAACAAAACAAACCUGAAGCGGAGUCACACAUGUGAAGUUUGCCAUGUUACACUCAACUCUGUAGCACAAUACCACGCACAUCUGCAGGGCUCCAAACAUCAAAACAACUUGAAGAACAAAUGAAGAUUCAUGGUUUUCUUCAAAUACUACAGCACUACUCUUGAAACCAUUUGUGGGUCUUUCUGCCCCUCUGUGUCAAACGUAUGUUAUGACCUGAGAAGACAUGGAUGUAUGAUAUCAUGACUUAUGAUAACAGACACUAGUGAUAUGGACACUACCAAUACAGAUAACCGUGGAUGGAUUGUGAUAAGCCAUUUGGGUAAGUUUGUAUGUAAGAAUGCAAAUACUGAAAAUGUUUAAGUCUAUGUGACCCUGUCUGUGAAAUCCAGGCUAAAGUCUCAAUCUUAUUAUGAGAUUAGGAGCAUCAAAGCUUGAUUUCAAUCAUUGAUUCCACAUUGAUUUCAAUGUUUGACAUGACCUUACUCAAUCAAUAUUAAAGAUAUCAAUGUUAUAGUUUUACAAAAUGUUCUUGUAUGUAGGAUGAUUGUUUGCAGAAAACAGUAAAUCAUAAAAUAAUGACUUUAGUUGGGUCACAGUUAUUUAAGGCAUGCAGAAUGGACACAAUAUGACUUUCGUAUUUUUAAUGUGGUGUGUUGUACUGAUUAAAUAAUAAUUUAUUUUGCCUAUAAUGUUUCUAUUUUAAUUUAAAUGAAUGUGUCAAGUGAAGAUUUUUUAUAAGAAUGAAAAUGUUUUCAUCAGUUUAAAUUGAAGCGAAAGUAUUAUAAAGAUUCCUGGUGAUAUUUUGAACACAAGAAUCUGGAGGAAU